AAGGGGGCGGAGCGAGCUGGGCGGAGCGAGGUGGACGGUGGACGAAGCUAGGUGGGCGGUGCGUGGCGCUCCCGGAAUCAGGAUACCCUGGCUGCUGGCGGGGCUGAGGUGCUGGCUCGGGAGACAGGUUUUCACUGUGUUGCCCAGGCUGGUGUCAAACUCCUGGACUCAAGAAAUCCGCCUGCCUCAGCUUCCCAAAGUGCUGGGAUUAUAGAUGUGAACCACUGCACCCGGCCCAAUAGUAAAAACAAAAUCAACGGCCAAAUGACUCAACUGCGAUUGUGCCAGUGAGAACCUCAGGAGCCUAGCAGAAGAUAACGCUGGGAAGGGUUCAAGGAGCUAAGCCGAGAGUUUUGGCUGCCCACCACAGACAGAGCCAGCUCUGGCCUGCUCUAUCUCUCAUUACUGUGAUGACGGCUGUAUCCAGAUGCUAAACACUCCAGAGACACUCCAAUGCAGUGUUAAAGAGUCUGAACACUUCAUCCCCAAAGAAUGUAGCAUUCCAGGAGAAAACAGGCCUCCUUCUGACACUGGUAAAACUGUGAAGGUGUGUGAUAAAUCAGGGAUCAAAAUGAGAGGCCACAGAUUCUCUGCCCCUUACAGUGAAUCCUGCUCUUCUCUUUUCAAUGGAGUAACAGUCAUAUUUAAAAAAAAAAAAAAGUUUGUACAGACACACUAAUGGAAACAAUGACAAAAUAUAUUCAAACAUAAAGUGUUACAAUAGCUAGAGGCUGUUCUAGAUGGGAAUCAAAGAAUAAAUAGCUGGAGAUGUAACUAAGGAUAAAAACAUAUGAAAUGUCUUGGGCUAUUUGAGGGGAUUAGUUUUGAGAGGGUGGGCAGGAAUAGUUUGUCCUUGGGGCAAUGGUUGCUUCCAUUUUCUUUCCUUCUGUUUUUCCUUGUUUUUCUUCCUUCUUUUCUCCCUCCCUUUCUCCUUCCAGCUCCCACCCUUCCUUCCUUCUUUCCUCUCUUUCUUUUUACAGAAAUUUUCAUUUCUUCACUGCCACAAAACAAAGACAACAGGGUGUUCAAAGUACCAUUUACUUGACUCAUCAACCUCCUAAAGUAAUAUAAAUUUUUUAAAAUGUAAAAUAAUAAAUGUUAUCUAUAUCCAAGAAAAAAAAUAGUGGCCAAAAAUUCUUGGCUAUAAAUUAGAAUUCUUUUUUCACUAACAAAAUCAAGUGUUUUAAUCAAAAGUAUGUACAAGAUUGUUUCUAAAAUGACCACUGCCCAAGUUUGCUAACAAAAAUGCAAAACAAUCUGCUUCAGUACAACAGAAAUAUAUAUAAUUAUGGCCACAAAUGUUAAUUAAAAAUUUCAAAACAAUAAGUUUACUUGUUUUGUUAAAGCAUUAUGUAAUUCCUAGCAUUUUUUGUUUCUUUUUGCUUUUUAAUGAGGUGUCAUUUAUGUAAAGUACACAAGUGUACAUCUUGAUAAAUCUUUCCAUAGUCUACAGCCAUGUAACCACCAACCAGAUCAAGAUAGAGAACCCCUCAAAGACAAUGUUUCCAAGUUUAAGUGUAUAAGACUCUCCUGAGGAUGUUGUUAAAAAUCUAGAUUCCUAGGUCACAAUCCCAGAGGUUCAAUAUCGGUGGGUCUAGGGUAGGGUCCCUGAGACUGAUUAUUUAAUAAGCACUUCCACUUAGAGAAACUCUGCCUUAGAAAGAAACCUAACUUAACUCAAUGGCUCUAGAAGUUCUAUUACUCUCUACUUUAAAGAUAAUUAAUUGGGAAACCUAGGUGCUAUCCUACCAAGGAAGAAUAUAUAUGACAUUUGCUAUCCCUGUGUAAUUUUAACUUUUAGCAUUGUUUUUUCUUUCUUUGAGCCAGAGUCUCCCAAAUGAAGUUUCCACCAGUCCAUAGAAAAAUAAAAAUUAAUAAGACCAUAGUGAGUUAUUCAUAAAGUUAGAUGUAUCUAAAGGAUUGUCAUUUAUUUUCAGAUUAUGUUCUUCCUACCUUCAGGACUUUCAAAUGCUCUUUGCUUUACAAAAUAAUUCUAACAGUAAAAUAGUAUGGCCUUUUUUUCUUAUUAAUUCUGAGAAAUUAAGAGAUAGAAACGCUAUAUUGUUCAACUUUGAAAAAUCUGAGCUAUCAAGCCUUCAGGUCUGCUCCUGAAAUUUGAACCAAUUGCCACCAGGGGAAGUAGAGUACUACAGCCUGUGUGAUUUCAACUGUAGAGGCAUUUUUUUCUGCCAGAGCAUGUCAAAUUUAACUGCAGAUUUUCUACUACAGUCUUCUGUCACUUAACAAUGAGGAGAUGAGAUAUGUUCUGAGAAAUGUGUCCUUAGGCUAGUUCAUCACUGUGCUAACAUCAGUUUGUACUUACACAAACCUAGAUGGUAUAGCCUACCACACACUUAUGCUAGAUGGUAUAGCCUAUUGCUCCUAGGCUACAAACCCACACAGCAUGUUACUGUACUGAAUACUGCAGGCAGCUGUAACACAAUGGUAAGUAUCUGUGUAUCUAAACAUAGAAAAAGUACAGUAAAAAUAUGUACUAUAAUCUUAGGGGACCAUGAUAUAGUAUAUGUGGGUUUGUCACUGACCAAACCAUCAUUAUGUGGUAUACGACUGUACUCCAAAAAACAACCUUAGCUUCUUUUCUCUAUAUAUAAGCAACAUAUGGUCUCUGUAAAAAACUUUCAAAGAAUGGGAAAAAUUAAAUCAAACCAUCAAACCAUU